CGGCGCUCGCGGCGCGGGGCCGGGGGCGGCUGCUCCGCGCCGCCGACCGCUGCGCCCCCGCGGCGUUCUCCGGCCCCGGAGUCGAGGCUGCUGAAAUUCCACACGACCAGCGUCUGCAGCAGCAGCACGAUCCUAAUUUUAAGAGAAGAAAGUGAAGGAAUAAAGAGGAUCCAUCAGAGGAGGCAAGGAAGAGAUUGUUUCAUCCACUCAACGACAGUCUGUGGAUAUCAAGCUGUGUCAGACACUGGGCGAGGUGCAGGAAUCCAAAGGUUUCACUUCUGCAUCAGAGAGAAAUCAUCCACAUGGGUCACCUGUUCCUGAGUGUCAGUAGGAGAGUUAUGCAUGGCACGUCCAUCUUCCCAUCCCCAGGAAUUCCCAAUCCUCUCCAACAAGUGCAUGCAAACACCAGGGUUCCAGGGCGCUUGGAGGUCAGAAGAGCCAGGAUGCCCAAAGCCCCUCCCUCGGGGACCCCAGAAGCACAUGAAGCCAUGAACACACAUCACCUGUACCACACACCCCCCCCCCAACCCAACCCAAGAGAAGGAAACAGCCUCUGUUCAGACCACAGGCUUAGGCAGACGACAUGCCCCGCCAGACUCCCAGCUGUGCUUCUGAAACCUGCAGCUUUUCCAGAGAACCAUCCACCCACUGUAUCAGCAGAGGGAGCUCUAGGUAGCAAAUAACUUUCCUCUGACAGCAGACUGUACUUUCCUAUAGAAAAGAUUUGCAGGAAACAACAAGGAAAAGCGGGGGUCCUAAGUGGAGCUGGCGUCCAUCCUGUGCAGAAGAAAACCCCACCAAUUUGCAAGGGUAGCUUGAGGGAUGGGGGUCAGGGCUGGGUAGUGAUCUGGGAGAGGAAGAGACACCAGCUGAGGAAAGGAUGCGUGAAAAUCACCACACUGCUUAGCGGAUUAUCUGACCUUGUUCUGUACCAGCCCUCUGACCCACUUCUAGACAUCUCACAGCCUUUGUACUACCCUCUCAAUGAUGUGAUGUUUGAAAAGGGGACACACUCCAGAUCCAAGUCUUAGACUAG